GAGCGAUGAAGCUUCCUUCGGGAAGUGGAUUAGCGGCGGACGGGUGAGUAACACGUGGGUAACCUACCUCAAAGUGGGGGAUAGCCUCCCGAAAGGGAGAUUAAUACCGCAUAAUAUAAGAAAAUCGCAUGAUUAUCUUAUCAAAGAUUUAUCGCUUUGAGAUGGACCCGCGGCGCAUUAGCUAGUUGGUGGGGUAACGGCCUACCAAGGCAACGAUGCGUAGCCGACCUGAGAGGGUGAUCGGCCACAUUGGAACUGAGACACGGUCCAGACUCCUACGGGAGGCAGCAGUGGGGAAUAUUGCGCAAUGGGGGAAACCCUGACGCAGCAACGCCGCGUGGGUGAUGAAGGUCUUCGGAUUGUAAAGCCCUGUUUUCUGGGACGAUAAUGACGGUACCAGAGGAGGAAGCCACGGCUAACUACGUGCCAGCAGCCGCGGUAAUACGUAGGUGGCGAGCGUUGUCCGGAUUUACUGGGCGUAAAGGGUGCGUAGGCGGAUGUUUAAGUGGGAUGUGAAAUCCCCGGGCUUAACCUGGGGGCUGCAUUCCAAACUGGAUAUCUAGAGUGCAGGAGAGGAAAGCGGAAUUCCUAGUGUAGCGGUGAAAUGCGUAGAGAUUAGGAAGAACACCAGUGGCGAAGGCGGCUUUCUGGACUGUAACUGACGCUGAGGCACGAAAGCGUGGGUAGCAAACAGGAUUAGAUACCCUGGUAGUCCACGCCGUACACGAUGGAUACUAGGUGUAGGGGGUAUCAACUCCCUCUGUGCCGCAGUUAACACAAUAAGUAUCCCGCCUGGGGAGUACGGUCGCAAGAUUAAAACUCAAAGGAAUUGACGGGGGCCCGCACAAGCAGCGGAGCAUGUGGUUUAAUUCGAAGCAACGCGAAGAACCUUACCUGGACUUGACAUCCCUUGCAUAGCCUAGAGA
rnacentral:rRNA from 1 species